ensembl:lncRNA
GUUUUCUACUUGGAGAUUUCUCUUAUUGGAGUAUUUGGGCCCAGAUGCUUGUGAUAGAAAAAUCAACUCCUUAAUCUGGCCCAGGUUUGCAUGAGUGCUUAUUUGGUAGGAUUGAGAAGAAGGAACAAGAAGAUGAACGAGGCAGGACUGCAUCUUUAAUGAAACUGAUGCCAGGCUGCCCUCUAGACGUGGAAACUAGCUCCGUGAUUGAAUAUGAAGUGAUUGCUCAAAUGGAAGCAGUUGCAAGAAGGACUCUGAAAGUAAUUUUAAAAUACCGCAACUUGUAAGAUUUGCAAGUACUGUUGUUUGGCAUUUGUGCCACAAGUUUUGCCUUUGCUUUCACAAUCUGAGGUCAGUGAAGCUUCACCAGUGUCUUGAAGUCCUUUUCUUCUUGAUAAAUCCAUAGUAAAAAUCAAAAUGAAGUCCUGAAGAAUUCUCAGACCAGUCCUCUGUUCGGAGAUAGUGGAUUCAUGUCUGGAACAUUUUGGAGUAGAAAAUGCAAAACCAGACAUCUAAAUGGCUUUCACGUUGACAGCCUUGACAGACUGUAUGAAUUUGGAGCAGAAAAGAGCUAUGGGAUCAUAUGAUGUGGGAUGUUUCUCAGGGGACCACCUGGUGAAUUUUGAAGGUCCCCAGAACAGACUGUGGGUUACCCAGAACUGCAGGAGGUCUUCCUAUCCACUCAAGCAGAAAGUGAAUGUUUUGAAACGAUGUGUCCAAUUAUUUCAGCUUCAUGCACAACACAAAUAGCCAAGACAAUAAGCCUGAUCUCUUCAAAAGUUUUCAUUUGUCUUUUAAAGUUGUUUUUCUUACAGGCUUAUGUAGAUGCCACCUCGAUUAUUAAAGCACAAUUGCAUUAGUGAUGAGGUACUUCUCUCAAUUAGUUUUGACACAGGGUAAUUUUAUGACUUCAAGUACACCUAUCUUUGACUCUUGAUGGAUUUUUCCGUGUCCUUGUUUUCUACCUAAACCAUGUUUUCGUUUUAUAUUUGUAUAAUGCAUUGUUUGGUGUUUCAAUUUUAAUCAUAGUUAUAUAUUUCUGUUUAUUCGCAUUACACUAAUAUAUGAAUGUCAAGGUUCCAUGGCAUUGCACGCAGUAAAAUAUAUUAAGUAUCUUUAAAUCAUUUACAGGUACUGCUGCAAUGUCACUGUGCAUACAAGAGUUUCAUUCAAUAACAAUGAAUGCUUUAUUUUUUGUUUGUAGUAAAAGAAAUGAAAGAAAGAGCAAGAAGAAUGAAAAAUAAGAGAAAAGUGUUGCUUUUAAGUAGAGAUUUAAUUGGAAGCAGUGACUGAGUACUUGAUAACUUACUGACUUGUAAUAGAUGAACUUCACAGAAUAUUGUGAGGACAUGUGAGUAUCCCCAUUAGGCAAAACUACUGUAAGAUUAAAUCGGAGCGUAAAACCCAAAGCUACCCAAAGUCUAGCUGAUCCAGUGCCCAGUCUCUGACAGUGGUUUGACCUCUCCUACAGUUAGGACAGUACCUCCACCAUCAUUAGAUGCUUUUUUGUGUACACUAGGAAUAGUUGCUUGAAAUAAAAUUUAAUUACUAC